rnacentral:rRNA from 1 species
UGGGGAAUAUUGCACAAUGGGCGCAAGCCUGAUGCAGCCAUGCCGCGUGUAUGAAGAAGGCCUUAGGGUUGUAAAGUACUUUCAGCGGGGAGGAAGGUGAUAAGGUUAAUACCCUUGUCAAUUGACGUUACCCGCAGAAGAAGCACCGGCUAACUCCGUGCCAGCAGCCGCGGUAAUACGGAGGGUGCAAGCGUUAAUAGGAAUUACUGGGCGUAAAGCGCACGCAGGCGGUCAAUUAAGUCAGAUGUGAAAGCCCCGAGCUUAACUUGGGAAUUGCAUCUGAAACUGGUUGGCUAGAGUCUUGUAGAGGGGGGUAGAAUUCCAUGUGUAGCGGUGAAAUGCGUAGAGAUGUGGAGGAAUACCGGUGGCGAAGGCGGCCCCCUGGACAAAGACUGACGCUCAGGUGCGAAAGCGUGGGGAGCAAACA